rnacentral:lncRNA from 1 species
UUAGCCACCUGUCAUCUUUCUCUUAUGUAGAAGCUGAGGAUGAGGUUGGAACUUCGUUCCAAGCCUUAUCUAUUGCUGAAGAAAAGAGAGUUGGGACACCCAUGUCCUCAUUCAAAGAUGAAAAGAAGAUUUUAGAAAAGGGUCAGUCUGAUUAGUGGGGACAGAUGGUAGAGAUCUCCGACAACAAGAGCAGAGCCGGUUUGAGUUUCCAAC